rnacentral:sRNA from 1 species
CGUUGGCGAUAUGGUGACUUGUCCACAAUCCGGGCACGGUACCAACCCUAUCGUCGAAGGAUCGCCGACAU